rnacentral:lncRNA from 1 species
GAUGUCUUCAUAUCGAGUAGGACAAGAAGCUUAUUUCUUGCACCAUCGCAGCGCUUACAUCACCACGCAGGAAAUGCUGGGAUGUUCUCCACCCUGGACGGGGACCACUCACACUUCGCACACCUAUCCGCCCUCUCCUCAUUCCGGAACCAGCUCCCGCGUUGGAAAAGAUACAUCCUCAUCCAGGAAGAGAAAGUCAAGGCUGCCCAGGAAAAUGUGCAAUGUCUUAGCUCAGAUUUCAGUUUCUAGAAACUUCAUCUCCUAUGCCAUGCCCUGUGGAGCGGCAUAAAGAAAGCCAGCCUCAGUAGCGUGGGUGCUCCAGAGAGUUUGUUCUCCCAGAUCCAAGCCCAGUGGCCGGAAGGCCCUGCAUGCCCGGAGCACUAAGGGCAUCCUGAGUGGGAGCUGCUUUGAGCUUCCUGCAGUCUCAUCUUCUUCCUGUGGUUUUGAUCCUUCCAGUGCAAGGUCACUCACUGAUCGACCUCUAGGCACCCACCUUCUGGGUGAGAAGAGGAGGGGCUGCAAACACUGCUCCCUGACUUUCAGCAAAGCGAAUGUUGCUGGGAAACUGCAGGCGACUGAUUUCAGCUCACAGCCCGCUGCUUACACCGGGUGUUGGCCGCCCAGAAGGAUUAAGGUCACAGGCCGUGGGCAGCAGCUGGGCUCGGUGGGCAGUGGCGAGGUGAUAAGCACAUCUCAGUUGCACCCAGCAUGCCUGGCCCAGAGGCAAGCAAGGUCACCAGACACUCCCCUCCCCCUCUCAGCCCACAAUCCAUCUCCCGGGCCUGUGCUCACCCUGGAGCCUGACCCUGAGGUGGAACCCUUCAGGCUCUGCCAUCAACAAGAAGAGGCUUGGGGCAGCACCACGGGAGGGUGCGGAGCUGGGCACGCCACCUCUCCUGAGCCUUUCCACCCCAGUUUUACGAGAGAGGCCCACUAGAGCCAGUGGUCUUCGUGACGGCACAUGGAAGAACCAAGAGGAGCAGCGGGAAGUGGAACUGGAGCCCCAUUACCCUGUGCGGGAAGCUGCCCUCGCCUGGAUUUCUUGGGCUGUGAGGUAAAACUUUACUAUUGGGAACAAUGUAGCAUUUUGGGAAAGUGCUCAAAGCUGCCGCUUAGCAAGAGUUCUGCUUGAUUUCCUCCUCCUCCUCCUAUUCCUCCUCUUCCGCUUCCUGUUCCAACGUGGAAUUACCUGGUCACCCGGAGUCAGGCGGUGCGCUCUGCCCCUUUUUGUACCCUAGCGCCUGCCUUCCUGUUGCCGCUGUCACAGCCCGCUGGGUGGUAAUGGCCAGAUGGUGACCACCGAGGUCAGGAGGCAGCGCCUUGAUGGGGCCCUGUCCUUGUGUCUCCCAAGACUGCGAGUGGCGGGAACCAGGGGAAAGAUAUCGAUGCCAGUUAUUGUUAGGUUGUCUUAUUAGGGUUUUUCUCUCACACCACUGACCGUUUACCUAACAGUCAUUGCCUUCCUUCUUUCCCCUUCCUUCCUUCCUUCCUUCCUUCCUUCCUUCCUUCCUUCCUUUAGAAAUGGGCGUCUCAGUAUGUUGUCUAGACUGGCCUCGAACUCCUGGGUGCAAGUGACCCUCUUGCCUGUAGCCGGGACUGCAGGUACAUCCCACUGUGCCAUUUCUCUCCCUCCUUUCCUUGUUGAAAAAAGACAACUUGUUCUCUUGUUAGGGAAGUACCAGAAACUCAUUUUCCAGCUUCUUUUGAAGCUAGAGCUCGGGCACUGAGACCCAAGGAUAAGUUGAGGGAGGAUAAUUCUAAGAGAGACUUUUUUUCCUAAAGAACCCUGCCAUGAGCACCUCUCCUUUCUGUCUCUGUCAUGAUGUGUGAGGAUGUGAUGGCUGGAGCCAUGGCAGCCACUUUACAGAGAUGAGAUUACAAGCCUUGAAGGAGAAAUCUAAUGUGUUUUUUCCCCUCAGCUAAAAUAUAAACCCAGUAAAGGCAGGGACUGUAGACUCUGGUUUGUUAAUUACUCUACUCCAGGUGUUUAUAAUGUAACGGAGGUGCUCAGAGUUGAGUAAAUGGAUGAAUGGAUGGAUGCAAAGGGCCAUCAUUUAUGACCCACACCGAUCACAUUUCUGCCCUCUUUUGAGGCUUCUUGUUAUAUGAGUUAAUAAAUCUCAUUGUUUAAUCCACUUCAUUUUAUUUUUUUGGUACCGGGGAUCGAACUCGGGACCUUUCGCUUGCGAGGCAGGUGGCAGAACCACUGAGCUAAAUCCUCAGCCCUAUUUAAUCCGCAUUAGUUGAGUGUGUUGUUAGAGAGGUGGCUCUCUAACAUAAUUCCUCUUCUAGGGCAUUCGGCUUCCAGUAUUCCCUGCAGUGAGUGGCUUUCUACAUCCAACCCCUGAGUACACUGGAUCUCAGAGCUGGGUGGGCACAUGGAGAUCCUUCCAUUCCAACCCUCCCAUUUUACGGAUGGAGAAACCGAGGUCCAGAAGGAGGAGGAGAUGUUACAGCACGGCCACUCAGAAAGUCUGGAAGCCUCAACUAUCCAUCUCCUCUGGAUGCUCCUUUCAUGGUCAGUCCUGCCCUGUGCUGUUGAUGAGGGAUCCAUGAGGUCCUGGUGGUCCCGCCUUUCUGGGACAUAGCUGAUUGGACCCAGACUCAGCAUGUGACCCAAGGACAGCCAAUCACACUUCCUCUCUGGUGAGCUGAAAAGUCAGUAACUGGAGCUGUUAGAAAGGGAGGCGGGGCUGCUCCUCUGACAGCCGAGUGAGCGA